rnacentral:sRNA from 1 species
GCCAGGCAUGGUGGUGCAUGCCUGUCACCCCAGCGGCUCAGGAGGCUGAGGCAGGAGGAUUGUGAGUUCAAAGCCAGCCUCAGCAAAAGUGAGGUGCUAAGCAACUCAGUGAGACCCUGUCUCUA